rnacentral:rRNA from 1 species
UACGGGGGUGGCAAGCGUUGUUCGGAAUUACUGGGCGUAAAGGGCGCGUAGGCGGCCUUCUAAGUCGAACGUGAAAUCCCCGGGCUCAACCCGGGAACUGCGUCCGAUACUGGAAGGCUUGAAUCCGGGAGAGGGAUGCGGAAUUCCAGGUGUAGCGGUGAAAUGCGUAGAUAUCUGGAGGAACACCGGUGGCGAAGGCGGCAUCCUGGACCGGCAUUGACGCUGAGGCGCGAAAGCCAGGGGAGCAAACGGG